UGGAGUAUGUGGUUAAUUCGAUGCAACGCGAAGAACCUUACCUGGUCUUGACAUCCCGGAGACCCUUAGGAAACUAGGGGUGCUUCCAUCUGGAAGAAUCUGGAGACAGGUGCUGCAUGGCUGUCGUCAGCUCGUGUCGUGAGAUGUUGGGUUAAGUCCCGCAACGAGCGCAACCCUUGCCUUUAGUUGCCAGCAGUUCGGCUGGGCACUCUAAAGGGACUGCCGGUGUUAAACCGGAGGAAGGUGGGGAUGACGUCAAGUCCUCAUGGCCUUUAUGACCAGGGCUACACACGUACUACAAUGGCCGAUACAAAGGGCAGCGACACUGCGAGGUGAAGCCAAUCCCGUAAAAUCGGUACUCAGUCCGGAUUGGAGUCUGCAACUCGACUCCAUGAAGUUGGAAUCGCUAGUAAUCGUGGAUCAGCAUGCCACGGUGAAUACGUUCCCGGGCCUU
rnacentral:rRNA from 1 species